rnacentral:rRNA from 1 species
CAGGGCUACUGUCUUGUAAUUGGAAUGAUGGUGACUUAAACCCUCACCAGAGUACCAAUUGGAGGGCAAGUCUGGUGCCAGCAGCCGCGGUAAUUCCAGCUCCAAUAGCGUAUAUUAAACUUGUUGCAGUUAAAAAGCUCGUAGUUGAAUUUCAGCGUUUCGCGUGUGCCUCUUUUGGCCCAUCUCGUCUCGCUUUUUUUAUUACUUUGAGAAAAUUAGAGUGUUUCAAGCAGGCUUUUGUCUUGAAUACUUGAGCAUGGAAUAAUAGAGUAGGACCUUGGUUCUAUUUUGUUGGUUUUGUUACCUUGGUAAUGGUUAAUAGGAACGGUUGGGGGCAUUCGUAUUUAACUGUCAGAGGUGAAAUUCUUAGAUUUGUUAAAGACGAACUACUGCGAAAGCAUUUGCCAAGGACGUUUCCAUUAAUCAAGAAC